rnacentral:ncRNA from 2 species
UUCUUAUCCAGAGAGGUGGAGGGACAGGGCCCUAUGAAACCCGGCAACCUAGUUUAAAGCUAAGGUGCCAAUUCCCACGUAUUUAUUACGUAAGAUGAGGA